rnacentral:rRNA from 1 species
UACGUAGGUGGCAAGCGUUGUCCGGAAUUAUUGGGCCUAAAGCAUCCGUAGCCGGUCCUGCAAGUCUUCCGUUAAAUCCAGCUGCUCAACAGAUGGGCUGCGGGGGAUACUACAUGGCUAGGAGGCGGGAGAGGCAAGCGGUACUUUAUGGGUAGGGGUAAAAUCCGUUGAUCCAUAGAAGACCACCAGUGGCGAAGGCGGCUUGCCAGAACGCGCUCGACGGUGAGGGAUGAAAGCUGGGGGAGCAAACCGG